UGCAAGAGUUGCUACCAUUUGACGGAAAAUUGUGCUUUCUCGAUAUGGAAAUUCUCUCACAGUUUCUCUUAAAAACGCUUCUUGGUAUUCUGUUUUCUCUGCCUUCAUUGCUUCUUGCCUUUUUUGGAAUUUAAUUACUUCGGCGACAACACAACUGAGGAAUCGAGUCCACUGCGCAGAGGUCUUUGAAGCCUCGUCAUAGAAGAAUCGUCGAGGGGGGUUAUCGUAAAAUCUAAGUGAGUGC